rfam:Echinostoma caproni strain Egypt genome assembly, scaffold: ECPE_scaffold0005547
GCACUGCUGAUGAGACCCAACCAGAUCGAAACAGCUGUUCAGUGC